GGAUGGUGGAGCCCACCAAGAUAAUCCAUAUCCGGAAUGUCGGGCACGAGAUUGUUGAGCCAGAUAUGCUUCAGUUGCUUCAACCGUUCAGGGUGGUCUCCAAAAUCGUCAUGUUCGUGCCAAGAACCAAGAAGAACAAUUUUGCAAGCGGUGACUAUGAUGAGCCAGUAAGACUUUCUCAAACUAAUGGUUCUCCUCUGAAAAAUCAAUCAGAAAAG